GUACUCCUAAUUAUAUGGUGUACGGUGAAACUGGCACGUAUCCCUUGGAAAUUAAAGUACGAUUACGAAUUUUAUCAUUCUGGUCAAAAUUAUUGUUAAACAGCACGAAAUUAUCAGGAUUAUUAUACCAAUUUUUGUAUAAGAUGCAUAAUUCUGGAAAUAUUGUUUCUAAGUGGAUUAAUUGUAUUAGAUCUACAUUAGACAACACAGGUUUAAGCUAUGUAUGGAACAAUCAAUGUAUUUUAAGAAAUGUUGACAUCAAAAUAUAUGUUAAGCAAAUUUUACAAGAUCAGUUUAUUCAAAAGUGGUUUAGUGAUGCUGAAAACUCUUCUAGAGGUGGAUAUUAUUUACUGUUUAAACACGCUUUUUGUUUAGAAAAUUAUUUGGUAAGAUUAAAAAAAGAAAAUAGAAUAUAUAUUACCAAACUUAGAUGCUCAAAUAUCAAAAUUCCACUAGAAACUGGUCGAUGGCAU
rnacentral:lncRNA from 1 species